UCUGCAGCUCUAUAAACAUGAUAAAAUAAACAUAUGUAUGUCAUAAAUGACAACAGUAUUCAGUGUUGAUGUUGGAAACAAUCAUCAUGAUCAAAAUUUUUAUUUUGGCCUCUAAUGAUACAUGUUAUUAUCAAGUGGUUUUUUUCCCGGUGUUUUCAUGGUAUUGUAUGUUUUAAGUCUCCCAUGUACAUGUAGACCCGACCAAAUAUACAUGAAUUCUAACAUUAAUUACUUAAUCUUAUCUAAUUAAACAGCUAGGAAAACGAGAAUGUAUAUGUACACUCACGGGGGGGUCUCUUCCUAUAUAAAGGUAUAUACAUAUGUGCCGCUGGAAUGGGUCCCUUUUUUGAUCCGUCAAAUAUAUCAAUGGGGUGCAAUUUUACCGAGGAAAUAUAUCAAUAGGUAGUAAUUGACCGAUUGUGAUAUAUCAAUGGGUCAUAAAUAUAUGAAUGGGUUAUGAUUUCGCUGUGAAAUAUAUGUAUAGGUAGGGAUUUCACAAUUAUUCAAUAUAUGAAUGGGGGGUGUUUUUAAAAUCCCAGCUGCACACCUGUACCCAAAAUCCCAUGUUGAGACCCCCCCGUGUGUACACUGUAACAUUAUACAAUAUAUCUGCACUCAUUACCUUACACUAAACUGAUGCACUGGAACCUACUGUUGGCCGA
rnacentral:lncRNA from 1 species